CCUACGGGUGGCAGCAGUGAGGAAUAUUGGUCAAUGGACGAGAGUCUGAACCAGCCAAGUAGCGUGAAGGAUGACUGCCCUAUGGGUUGUAAACUUCUUUUAUAUGGGAAUAAAAUGUUCCACGUGUGGGAUUUUGUAUGUACCAUAUGAAUAAGGAUCGGCUAACUCCGUGCCAGCAGCCGCGGUAAUACGGAGGAUCCGAGCGUUAUCCGGAUUUAUUGGGUUUAAAGGGGGCGUAGGGGGAUGGUAAAGUCGGUGUGAAAAUUUGGGGGUCAAACGUAAAAUUGCAGUUGAAACUGGCAGUCUUGAGUACAGUAGAGGUGUGCGGAAUGCGUGGUGUAGCGGUGAAAUGCUUAGAUAUCACGAAGAACUCCGAUUGCGAAGGCAGCACACUGGCCUGCAACUGACGCUGAGGCUCGAAAGUGUGGGUAUCGAACAGGAUUAGAUACCCGGGUAGUC
rnacentral:rRNA from 1 species